AUUGAACGCUGGCGGAAUGCUUUACACAUGCAAGUCGAGCGGCAGCGCGGGGCAACCUGGCGGCGAGCGGCGAACGGGUGAGUAACACACCGGAACGUACCCCGUUGUGGGGGAUAGCCCGGCGAACGCCGGAUUAAUACCGCAUACGACCUGAGGGUGAAAGGGGGGGGAUCGCAAGACCUCUCGCAGUUGGCGCGGCCGAUGGCGGAUUAGCUAGUUGGUGGGGUAAAGGCUCACCAAGGCGACGAUCCGUAGCUGGUCUGAGAGGACGACCAGCCACACUGGAACUGAGACACGGUCCAGACUCCUACGGGAGGCAGCAGUGGGGAAUUUUGGACAAUGGGGGCAACCCUGAUCCAGCCAUUCCGCGUGAGUGAAGAAGGCCUUCGGGUUGUAAAGCUCUUUCGGCAGGAACGAAACGGUGUGGGCCAAUACCCCAUAUCAAUGACGGUACCUGAAGAAGAAGCACCGGCUAACUACGUGCCAGCCGCCGCGGUAACAC
rnacentral:rRNA from 1 species